ACAUUUGGCUUCCCUGUAUCAAUGGUACUUGUAGAUGUUUUUGUAAGCAGAGAGAGAGAGACAGACAGACAGAGAAGAGGGGGAAAGGGGAGAGAAUUCUUUUAUUUCUUUAUGAUUUUGAAAAGGAUAUCAUUAAAAUGAUAAUUUUGUGAGUCGCAUUGGCUUUGAAAAGUUUGAACCCGUGAUAUUACCACAUUGGCUUUGAAAAGUUUGAACCAUAUUACCACAUGUUCAUUUGGAAUAUUUUCAUGUCAGGCUGUAAUGUAGCAUUUCAGAGAGUAUCUGAAAAUCUGAUGCUGACAAUAGAACUGGAUCUCAGCAGCUUGCAGGAACUGGUCAAGAUUCACUUAAUCAGCCUGGAAUACAGAUUCUUCUAGAUAUAGAAUUAACACGGAGAAACCCUCCAGCAAUAUCGAUUCCAGAGAUUGGGAUUAGAAUGCACAGGACACAAAUUGGGAUUUUAUGGAAAUUGUAAGACAGAAGUCCAGGAAUUGAAGGGUAUUAGAAAGGAUUAAGUUGAAGAACGUUAAUUAGAAUCUGUAGGUCGAACUUUUAUAAUGUGGAUGUUAUGGAAAUGCAAGGUUGUGACUUAUGUACACCAAACUUCCAGGGGAUAGAACUUAAAUGGAGAGCAAGCAAUGGAUAUAUUACUAAAAUAAUAAAAUCACUAUGAAAUGUUAGACUCUUAGCAUUUUAUGAUUGUGAAGGAGAAAAUGAUAUUGACAGAAAAAAACCAAGAGUAUUCGAGAUCCAUAAAAACCAUUGACAACCUUUGUUUCAACAUGUGCGUGUGUGUUUUAUCUACACUGGGAGUAUAAUAACUGGGCCCCUGAUUUAUUUGAUCCUGCAUUAACAGCAUUGUAAAAUGAUUAUCAAGUCGAACCCCUAGUUCUGCCUGCCUUGGCUGGGUGAUGGCUCAUUGUUCUGUUGACAGUUGCUGAAGUCACUGGGAUUCUCUGAUCUGCUGCAGCAACAGCUGGUCAGAAGACCCUACUAAACAAUGCCCCAUCGCACAAUGCAGGCCUAGUUUCUGUGUCAACUUUGUCUCAUCACUGAUAUUAUCUCUUAUGCUUGCAAUAAAUUAAUAAA
rnacentral:sRNA from 1 species